rfam:Paraphaeosphaeria sporulosa strain AP3s5-JAC2a unplaced genomic scaffold CC84scaffold_16, whole genome shotgun sequence.
GGCCGUGUGGCCCAAUGGCAAGGCGCUUGACUACGAUUAGUAAAUCAAGAGAUUCCAGGUGUGUAUUCACAGUUCGCAAGUCGCUAAGACGUCAUCACUAACAGUUCAAAGGUUCGACCCCUGGCACGGUCA